rnacentral:rRNA from 1 species
GUGAGGAAUUUUCCGCAAUGGGCGAAAGCCUGACGGAGCAAUGCCGCGUGAAGGAUGAAGGCCUAUGGGUUGUAAACUUCUUUUCUCAGAAAAGAAUUAUGACGGUAUCUGAGGAAUAAGCAUCGGCUAACUCUGUGCCAGCAGCCGCGGUAAGACAGAGGAUGCAAGCGUUAUCCGGAAUGAUUGGGCGUAAAGCGUCUGUAGGUUGUUUAAAAAGUAUUCUGUCAAAGAUUAGGGCUUAACCCUAGAUAGGCAGAAUAAACUUUUAAGCUAGAGUUUGGUAGAGGCAGAGGGAAUUCCCGGUGGAGCGGUGAAAUGCGUAGAUAUCGGGAGGAACGCCAAAGGCGAAGGCACUCUGCUGGGCCAAUACUAACACUGAGAGACGAAAGCGAGGGGAGCAAAUGGGAUUAGAAACCCCAGUAGUCC